rnacentral:rRNA from 1 species
CCUACGGGUGGCAGCAGUGGGGAAUAUUGCACAAUGGGCGAAAGCCUGAUGCAGCAAUGCCGCGUGAGCGAUGAAGGCCUUCGGGUCGUAAAGCUCUGUCCUCAAGGAAGAUAAUGACGGUACUUGAGGCGGAAGCCCCGGCUAACAACGUGCCAGCAGCCGCGGUAAUACGUAGGGGGCUAGCGUUAUCCGGAAUUACUGGGCGUAUAGGGUGCGUUGGUGGUUGCUUAAGUCAGAGGUGAAAAGCUACGGCGAAAGCGUAGUAAGCCUUUGAAACUGGGGAACUUGAGUGCAGGAGAGGAGAGUGGAAUUCCUAGUGUAGCGGUGAAAUGCAUAGAUAUUAGGCGGAACACCAGUUGUGAAGGCGGCUCUCUGGACUGUAACUGACACUGAGGCACGAAAGCGUGGGGAGCAAACAGGAUUAGAUACCCCAGUAGUC